GUGUUGCUUUGGCAGCACAUAUACUAAAAUUGGAAAGAAAGAUACAGAGAUGAAUAGCAAGCUGCGCAAGGAUAACAUGCAAAUUUGUGAAGAAUUUCAUAUUUUU